CGCUUUUGUGGGGUGCUCGAGUGGCGAACGGGUGAGUAACACGUGAGUAACCUGCCCUUGACUUUGGGAUAACUUCAGGAAACUGGGGCUAAUACCGGAUAGGAGCUCCUGCUGCGUGGUGGGGGUUGGAAAGUUUCGGCGGUUGGGGAUGGACUCGCGGCUUAUCAGCUUGUUGGUGGGGUAGUGGCUUACCAAGGCUUUGACGGGUAGCCGGCCUGAGAGGGUGACCGGCCACAUUGGGACUGAGAUACGGCCCAG
rnacentral:rRNA from 1 species